UUCCUCAGUACGGCGAGCGAAGUGGGACAGCUCAGGCUGCCAAUCUCCGGCCGAGAGGUCGGCGAAUUGUGGUCUGGAGACGCCUGCUGUCCUCGCCCGUUUCCCCAGCCCGAAGUUGACCUGGAACGGUGCGUCAGAGAGGGUGACAAUCCCGUAGGGCUGUCCGGGAAGCGGGUGGACGUGAGCUGGCGCUCGGCGAGUCGGGUUGUUUGGGAUUGCAGCCCAAAGCGGGUGGUAAACUCCAUCCAAAGCUAAAUAGUGGCACGAGACCGAUAGCGAACAAGUACCGUGAGGGAAAGGUGAAAUAGCACUUUGAAAAGAGAGUCAAAGAGACCGCGAAACCGUUGGGAGGGAAGCGCACGGCGGCGAGCCGUGUCCGCGGUGGAACUCAGCAUGGCGUGCUUGCACCUCGGGUGCCGUGGCGCCUGUUCCGACGAGUCUUCUCGGCCGAGGUCAGAGAAGCGUCGGCGGCAGGAGAGCUGCGGUGCUGCCUGCGCACUUUCCGCCCGGACUCGUCAGCGAGGAUCGCCUCGGGCUCACAAGAGCGGCGGGGUAGGUGGCCCGGCAGAGUCCAGGCUCUGCUGGGACCUUAUAGCCCGUCGUCUCGGCUGCGGCCGCGGUCCGAGCGUCGAUCGAGGAGUGUUGCGAGCGUUGUUCGCCGGAGAGGCUCGGUAGGCAACGGAGGGCGUUUGCUUUCCCGUCUGCCGAGCUCCGACGCUGGCGUCGAGUCGCUGCCGUGCGACCCGUCUUGAAACACGGACCAAGGAGUGCAGGAGGCGCGCGAGUCUUCGGGUGAAGGAAACCCGACUUGGGCGAAGCGAGAGUGAAACGCGGGAGCCGGCGCUUGCCGUCGGCGCACCGUGGACCGAGCCGUGUGGUCACGCUGUGGCCGGCUUCGAGUCAGAGCGCACCUGUUGCGACCCGAAAGAUGGUGAACUAUGCCCGAGGAGGGUGAAGCCAGGGGAAACUCUGGUGGAAGCUCGUAGCGGUUCUGACGUGCAAAUCGAUCGUCGCACUUGGGUAUAGGGGCGAAAGACUAAUCGAACC
rnacentral:rRNA from 1 species